rnacentral:misc_RNA from 1 species
CGGCUCACGAGCUUUGCACAAUUUUAUUGCGGAUCGGUUUUGAGCAGGAUGGUUCAUUUCGGGCAUGCAUUAGUCUAACCGAAGAAGGAAAACAAGUGCGCACCUUUUCAGUGUUCAGUUCUUUGAUUUUCAAGUGUUUGCACAAGAUGGAUCAUACAGGACAGGAAGUGCGCAAACAAAAUCCGAAGGAGAAGGCGAAUAUUGUGUCGGGAUUAACUUUUAUAUAUACUCGAAAACUAUUCAGGAGAGCCUUAAAAAAUGACUUAGAAGAAGAAGACUUGUACGACGUACUAAAGACACUGAACUCAGACAAAUGCGGCACCAAAAUCGAAUCUCGUUGGAAGCACGAGCAUUUGCAAGAAAAUCCGUCGCUUGCGCGCCUGAUGUGGGCAAGAUUCGGCCUAAAAUACGCCUUCAUUGGCCUAAUUCUGUUAACUUAUAAGCUGUUUAACAUAGCAAUGGAACCAUACGCGCUCAGCAGCCUGAUCAACUGCUUCAAGUCCGAAAACAGUUGCACUUUGAACGAGACCUACAUUUAUGGUGCAACAGUGAUCGGCAUUAAUGUUUUCAAUUUUUUCUUUUGGCACAACUACAUUAUCUACGUGCAAACGUUUGCGAUCAAAAUCCGCACAUCGUUCUGCUCGUUGCUCUAUCGCAAAGCUCUAAAACUGACUCCCUCAGCCAUGAACGAGAUCAGUCUGGGAAACAUUGUGACUCUAAUCACAAAGGAUGUGCAUACAUUCGAAUCGUCCAUUUGGCUCUUCAACGACAUGUGGAUCGGUAUCGUUUCUUCAGCUUUUAUUGUCUAUUUGCUGGUUCUCAAAAUGGGAUGGAUUUCGUUGAUUGGAAUCACGUUUCUUAUGGCAACUAUUCCCUUCCAACUUUACAUUGGGAAAUUGACAACAGUCCUGAGGCUGCGAGUCAGCAAAAAAACCGACCAGCGACUUCAAAUAAUGCAAGAGAUUCUCUCAUCCAUCAAGAUCAUUAAGCUGUACACUUGGGAGAACUAUUUCAACGAUCAAGUGAAUGACCGCCGGAGAAAGGAGGUUAAAAAUAUGCGCGUGGCAUCCGUGCUUAGAUCCCUGAUGGUGGUGGUGGGAUUUGGGGCGACAAAAAUCGGGUUCUACGUUCUCAUUGUCGCCUACCUCUGGAUGGGGUACAUUCCCGACGCCAAGCUCAUUUUCUACGUAUCCAACAUGUUCAAUAAUCUAAAGUUCCUGCUAGGCGUUUCCAUCCCCAUUGGCAUGUCGAAAGCUGCGGAACUGCUGGCGGCCGUUAUCAGGAUUAAUCAGGUGCUGAAGGCUGAAGAGCUGCACCGCGACAACAGCCAUGACGAGCCUACGGAUUCUCCUAAAAUGUCCCUACAAAACGCCACGGUGACCAUCAACAAGCGGCUGGCUUUGCAGGAAGUCUCCGUUAGCAUAACGCCUGGGUUGACUGUUGUGUCAGGCACAGUGGGUUCAGGAAAGAGUUCGUUGCUCAAGGCUCUGUUGCAAGACUAUCCGUUGGAAAGCGGUUCGGUUAGCACCUAUGGAAGAAUAUCGUACGCGUCCCAAGAUCCUUGGCUCUUCCCAUCGUCAAUCAGACAGAACAUCCUCUUUGGCGAAAGCUACGACGAAGCAAGGUAUCAAGAGGUAGUAAGAGUGUGCGCCCUGAUGUACGACUUGAACAUCCUGGAAAACGGAGACCAGACCAUCGUGGCAGACAAUGGCAUCAACCUGAGCAAAGGCCAGCAAGCCAGAGUAAAUCUAGCUAGGGCCAUAUACAAGCAAAGCGAAAUCUACUUACUAGAUGACUCAUUGACUGCCCUGGACGCUCACGUGCAAGACCACAUCUUCAAUGAAUGCAUUAAGAAGUACUUGAAGAACAAAGUGGUGGUGUUAGUGACUCAAACGGUGCAUCACAUUCAGGACGCCGAUAAUCUGAUAAUCAUGCAAAACGCCAAAGUGAAAUCCAUGGGCAAGCCCGCUGAGUUGUCGAUGGAAGAACUUUCCGAACUGGUGGGUAAUGACGACGAAAUAGAAAAGGAAAUAAUUGAGGAACCAAAAACCAACGGAAUAGUCAAAGAAGAAAAAAAACCGACCGACGAAGCCGAAAGCGAAAAACUAUUGGAAUCCGAACAGACCCAGGCGAAGAAGAUAUACAAGGAAAUCACCAAGAAGGGCGACGUGAGUUUUUCGGUGUAUGGCAAAUAUUUCAAGUUUGGCGGCGGUAUUUGCGUGUUCCUUGCUAUAGUGUCCUUGUAUUUCAUUGCCCAAGGCAGCGAGACUACUGCUGAGAAGUUCAUUGCUAUGUGGAUUGACGAACAGCAGAAAGAAGUUGACUUGAGGGUCCUCAACCAAACCAACACGACAAUUUUCGAGGAAACGGUCACUAAAAAGGACUUGUAUAUCCGAAUCUACUCCAUCACAAUUGGCCUGAGUAUGGCGCUGGUUCUAACGCGAUCCUAUUUGAUGUUCGACUUCUGCCGAAGAGCUUCGGUUAAGUUGCACAAGGUCAUGUCCACGACCAUCAUUAAUGCUGUAAUGGAAUUUUUUGACACCAACUUUAUCGGCAACGUGUUGAAUCGAUUUUCUCAGGACCUGAUCACUAUUGAUGAAUUUUUGCCUCACACGAUAAUCGAAAUGUUCAAGAUAUCAGCGCAGAUUUUGGGAGUUGUAGUCAAUAUAUCAAUUGUCAAUUGGCGGUUUUUAAUUCCGGCCAGCGCCUUCUUUUUCAUCACUUUCUUUGUGCGAAGGCUUUAUCUACCGACUGGCAGGAGCUUGAAGCGACUUGAAGCAGCCACUAGAAGUCCACUGGUGGGUCAUCUGAAUGCUUCCCUUGAAGGGCUGACCACCAUAAGGGCCUACAAGGCUGAAGAUAUUUUGAAACAGGAAUUCGACCGCCAUCAAGACCUCUACACUUCGGCACAUUUCAUGCUAACGUGCACGUCCAGGGCUUUUGGAUUUCUUCUGGAUUCAAUGUGCUCAGUUUUAAUUGCUAUGGUGGUGUUCAGGUUCCUGUUCUUCGAUACUGAUACAAGCGCUGGAAAUGUUGGUUUGGUGCUCACUCAAGUGUUUAUGCUGGCUGGAAGUGUGCAAUGGGGAGUUCGAUGUUGGGCAGACCUGGAGAACCAAAUGACGUCAGUGGAGCGUACGUUGGAAUACACUAAACUGAAGCAGGAGAAGAAACAGGGCAGUAAAGUUGACAACUGGCCGAACGAGGGCCAUAUCCGCUACAAGAACGUGUGUAUGUCCUAUGGCAAAGAAAUGAUCUUGAAGAACCUUAAUUUCGAAGUGCUACCAUCCCAGAAAGUUGGCAUUUGCGGACGCACUGGAGCUGGAAAGUCCUCAAUCAUUUCAACUCUAUUUCGGCUGUAUGAAGUGGAUGGGGACAUCCUGAUUGAUGGCGUCAACAUCAAGCAUAUUGCUAUAGACUUUUUACGCCAAUGCGUAGCCAUUAUCCCACAAGAUCCAGUGCUGUUCACUGGAACAGUGAGAACCAACAUCGAUCCUUACCGCAUCUACUCAGACGAAGAAAUCUGGAAGCUUCUGGAGCGGGUUCAUCUGAAGGGCAGCAUCCAUACUUUGGAGAUGCCGAUUAAUGAAAACGCCCCAGCCUUGAGCUCUGGCCAAAGACAGCUGAUUUGCCUGGCUAGAGCGAUAAUUCGCAGAAACAAAAUCGUCGUUCUGGAUGAAGCCACGGCCAACAUGGACCCUCAAACCGACGUAAUGCUUCACGAUGCAAUCAAGGAAAACUUUGCAGGGUGCACGAUCUUUUCCAUAGCGCAUCGAUUGCACACUAUUAUUGACUCGGAUAAGAUUAUGGUUCUGGAUCGGGGGGAAAUUAAGGAGUUUGAUACUCCUGCUAAGUUGCUGGCCAAUAAGGAUGGCAUGUUUUACAAGAUGAUUGAACAGGCAGGACUCACGAAUUAUUUGAACGGGGGUUGAAUGGAAUCAUUUAGUGCGUAAAAUAUUUCUAGUCAGUAUCGUGCCAGAUUAAGACAAUCCAUAUCGUCCAAGUAUAGAGUUUCCUCAAGGUUAAUUGAGAAUAUAAAAGUUCUAAUUGGAGGCUAAGUUUAUUGUUUUGUGCGGUCAACAAAUGGUGAAAUUAUCUGUUUUAUUUUACAGACGGAAAAUUCUUCAACAAAGACAUUAAAACCUGAAUUCUUGACCUAGUUCAAUAACGGCUAUCUUGCUAAAGAAUACAAGGAUGUUGAAAAAUCGAUUUAUCCAGUAGUCUCGAGGUUAUCUUGGUGUUUACGAAUCGAUUAAUUACACAGAGCGGCAAAUGAUGGCAAGGCUAAUAAAUUCAUGUUUUAUAUGGGUU